rnacentral:rRNA from 2 species
GAGUUUGAUCAUGGCUCAGAUUGAACGCUGGCGGCAGGCCUAACACAUGCAAGUCGAGCGGAUGAGAGGAGCUUGCUCCUUGAUUCAGCGGCGGACGGGUGAGUAAUGCCUAGGAAUCUGCCUGAUAGUGGGGGACAACGUUUCGAAAGGAACGCUAAUACCGCAUACGUCCUACGGGAGAAAGCAGGGGACCUUCGGGCCUUGCGCUAUCAGAUGAGCCUAGGUCGGAUUAGCUAGUAGGUGGGGUAAUGGCUCACCUAGGCGACGAUCCGUAACUGGUCUGAGAGGAUGAUCAGUCACACUGGAACUGAGACACGGUCCAGACUCCUACGGGAGGCAGCAGUGGGGAAUAUUGGACAAUGGGCGAAAGCCUGAUCCAGCCAUGCCGCGUGUGUGAAGAAGGUCUUCGGAUUGUAAAGCACUUUAAGUUGGGAGGAAGGGCUGCAAGUUAAUACCUU